UGCUGGUUGAAAGAAUAGCUAAUUAGGCCCAUGAAGACUACUGUCAGGUAAAGAAGUUCUAAAGAUACAUUUCCUGUCAAUGCAAUAAACACAUUGAAUGUCUUGAAGACGGCUGCAGUUUUGUUUACAUGCUAUGGCAUACCACACGAUCAUAUGGAUGUUUGGGCUCUAUUUGCUGUUAUCUCUGGCCAAUUUGCUGAGCUGUUACAUGAUGUCAGUGAUGUAACCGGAGUUGCAUCAGGAUCACAUGAGCUGUGGGAGCCUGGAGAUGUAAGAGCAGCAUACAAUGGAGGAGAGCAGGGCUGCUCUGAGUCAUGCCGUGUGAUGUCUUCCGCAUGGGGAUGGCAGGGCUGAACGUUAGCACCAGGUCUGGCCCUCCUGCAGCUCUGAGUCACCAUCCCUAAGGGUCAGUAAGUUCACACACAUCCUUCCCAGCAGCUGGAUUGUCAGGGGCAGGCUGGGAAAUGCAAAGUAUCUCUUGAUUCACCAGCAAUGAACCUACAGAAGAGUUAAUUAUCCCUGAGAUCUGUGGACUCUGGCAGUGGAAGUGGCAUUGUAGAAACUCCAGGCUGCUACGCUUAAUCUCAUGUUUCGAUGUUGGUUUGCAGCAUAAUUCUUCUAGGAGAUUGAAGAAGUUCAGGGAAAGAGAUGAGAAUUUCAAAGACUGUAAGCUGUGGAAAGGAUAGCCUGGAUGCAAGGUGAGAAGAGCAAAUCAUGCAACCUGAAGGAGAUUUUGAAAGAAGAAAAAAUGAAGUGUGAAAACUUCAGAUGGAAAGAAAAUCACAAUUUCACAGUUAUUUUUGAAGUUAUCCAGAAGAAUAUAGCCAAAAAAAAAAAAAAAAAAGGUUCAAAGAAUCAUCUGGUCUAUUAGCUUUGUCAUUAACUAUAAUAAUACUAGUAAUAAUAAUAAUUUGUUAUCUUAUAGUGCCAAGAGGGAGCAUCAACAAUUUACACACAGAAUCAGACUCACAUUUACUGGGGCUACUCAAGGGGGAGGCAGUGGCCCCAUCAGCAUGGACAGGGGCAUGAGGAGGUGUAUCUGUACCCUUGAGGUGAUGGCACAGGGGCAGUGUACAGUCCCCUCACUGUGGCUGGGGUCGGUACCAGGCAGGAAGUCUCAUUCUCCCUGCAAAGAGCCUCUGAUCUCUAUUUCAGCCAUGGCAACUGGAGGCAACUCAUAAGGCAGGGAUGGAGCAGUAUAUUCACCUGCUAUUAACCUUUAAUCUGGGCCAGGUUAAGCCAUAGUGCCUCAGGAAAUCCUAAAAUCUGAUGUAUAACAUUUGCAUACAGGAAAAAAAUGAAGUACUUUAGAAGUGCCAAGCUGGAAGGGGGAGAGUCACAUCUGGUGAACCUG
rnacentral:lncRNA from 1 species